rfam:Ixodes scapularis strain Wikel colony gcontig_1108379625816, whole genome shotgun sequence.
GCAGUCGUGGCCGAGUGGUUAAGGCCAUGGACUAGAAAUCCAUUGGGGUCUCCCCGCACAGGUUUGAAUCCUGUCGACUGCG